rnacentral:tRNA from 1 species
GGGGAUUUGGCUCAGUGGUAGAGCGCUUGCCUAGGAAGCGCAAGGUCCUGGGUUCGGUCCCAGCCCCG